rnacentral:misc_RNA from 1 species
GAUGAAGAACGUAGCGAAAUGCGAUAAGUAAUGUGAAUUGCAGAAUUCAGUGAAUCAUCGAAUCUUUGAACGCACCUUGCGCCCUUUGGCUAUUCCGAAGGGCAUGCCUGUUUGAGUAUCGUGAACACCUCAACUCUCAUGGUCUGCCAUGAUGAGCUUGGACUUUGGGGGUCUUGCUGGCCUACUGUCAGCUCCUCUCAAAUGAAUCAGCUUACCAGUGUUUGGUGGCACCACAGGUGUGAUAACUAUCUACGCUUGUGGUUUUCUGCCAGGUAACCUCCAGUGAUGGAGGUUCGCUGGAGCUCACAAAUGUCUCUCCUCAGCGAGGACAGCUUUUUGAACGUUUGAUCUCAAAUCAGGUAGGACUACCCGCUGAACUUAAGCAUAUCAAUAAGCGGAGGA